UAAACAUCCCAAAGAUGCACAGAUGGGCUACAAACACCUGCAAUUAAUUAUUCGCUUCUACAAAUAUUCCAGCACAACCCUUUUGUCAUGUUCUGGAAAGACUCGCAAACAAAACAUUGAAACAUUUGCACCGUCUGCGUUGCUGAUUCUGCCUUCUUUCUUUAACCCGCAACCUCCCGUAGUGUAAAAUCCAAACAUAGUCAGACGUCUUUUUCGCUCUUAUAUUUCAGUUUAUGCUUUCUUUGCUGUUUGCAGUAAGCUCAUAGCUGCCAGGGAAAUUGGCUUCAUUAAUGGUAGACUGUUUACCUAAUGAAUCAGACUCUUGCUUUAGGUGCAGCCUGUGGUGCAGUGACGGUUUCUUGGCCCUUCACAGGGGCUGGUUGGUUUUGUCAAGUACAGCUGUGGAGUUUGUCAUUGUAGAAGCCCAAUGGUCCCGGCGAGGCCUUCGCCAACUUUCGGUUCCCAAGGUAGUCCUGCUGUAAUUGUGGACCCGCCAUCCCCCUGUGGAUUACAGGAUUUCUGCCAGUUUACCUCCUGGGAUGAUGGUACUCUGUGGGGAAAAAAGGAGAAAUGAAAGUUGAACAUCAGCUUUAUUGCUAUCUAGCAUGCGCCAUUCUUCAGGAGCAGGACAUUUUAUAUUAACAUCUCUCAGUGAGGAGGAAUUGUGAGAGAGGAAAGAUAAUCUUCGCCGGUGGCAAAGUGCCCAGGCUUCGUGGGAAGUCCACACUCCAUUCCCUGACAUCUGCCAGCGAGGGCCUUCAGCGACACCUCACUGUCUCUAGAAGUAAACGCUUUCCAAGAACACAGUAAGAAAUAUAUGUGCAGUCGUUCCUUUAAGGAGCUAUAUCUACAUGAUGUGGGGCUUGAAAACUAUCUUUGUUAGUGUGACACAAUGUAUUCAGGUUGAUCCAGUAAUAUUAAAUAUGAACUACACUGUGAUGAUUUUUCUAAGUUGUAAACAAAGAUUACUGGAGUAUGUUUUACAAAAAAAAUAAAAAAAAUACUAUUUCAGUCUUUCUACUUCAA
ensembl:lncRNA